UACGAAGGGGGCUAGCGUUGCUCGGAAUCACUGGGCGUAAAGGGUGCGUAGGCGGGUCUUUAAGUCAGGGGUGAAAUCCUGGAGCUCAACUCCAGAACUGCCUUUGAUACUGAAGAUCUUGAGUUCGGGAGAGGUGAGUGGAACUGCGAGUGUAGAGGUGAAAUUCGUAGAUAUUCGCAAGAACACCAGUGGCGAAGGCGGAUCACUGGCCCGAUACUGACGCUGAGGCACGAAAGCGUGGGGAGCAAACAGG
rnacentral:rRNA from 1 species